UGUUCUGGGCGCGGGAGCCGGAGGGGCUGGUCACGCCGCAGUUCUGCGGCGGCGAGUCGUUGACGCGGAGACGGGGGUGGUGCAGCGGUAGGAGGCCGCGCGGCCGCCCUGUCUGCGGUUGUAGGAGGCCUCGUCCCAGGUUCAGCUGCGGCUGCCGCCUGCACCCCUCGCCGCCGCGCAGUGAGGUGUCGAGCCGGCCGUAGUAGCGGCCGAAGUAGCACCGGCGCCAGAUGCGGCACCGGUG
rnacentral:rRNA from 1 species